GACUGAGACACUGCCCAGACUCCUACGGGAGGCUGCAGUCGAGAAUCUUUCGCAAUGGACGAAAGUCUGACGAAGCGACGCCGCGUGUGUGAUGAAGGCUCUAGGGUUGUAAAGCACUUUCGCUUGGGAANUAAGAGAAGUUGGUUAAUACCCGCUUGAUUUGACCGUACCAGGAAAGGAGCACCGGCUA
rnacentral:rRNA from 1 species